UACGUAGGGGGCUAGCGUUGUCCGGAUUUAUUGGGCCUAAAGCAUCCGUAGCCGGUUCUACAAGUCUUCCGUUAAAUCCACCUGCUUAACAGAUGGGCUGCGGAAGAUACUAUAGAGCUAGGAGGCGGGAGAGGCAAGCGGUACUCGAUGGGUAGGGGUAAAAUCCGUUGAUCCAUUGAAGACCACCAGUGGCGAAGGCGGCUUGCCAGAACGCGCUCGACGGUGAGGGAUGAAAGCUGGGGGAGCAAACCGG
rnacentral:rRNA from 1 species